UUCAGCAUCAACAAUUACCUCUGGAAUUUGUCAGUACAGGUUCUUCAGAGACAGUGCUCCAAAGAACCCCUUUGGGCUGCGGCUAUUACUAUUCCUGUUUGAUCGAUGAGGAGCCUGGGA
rnacentral:lncRNA from 1 species